UACGGGGGGGGCAAGCGUUGUUCGGAAUUACUGGGCGUAAAGGGCUCGUAGGCGGCCAACUAAGUCAGGGGUGAAAUCCCGGGGCUCAACCCCGGAACUGCCUUUGAUACUGGUAGUCUCGAGUCCGGAAGAGGUGAGUGGAAUUCCGAGUGUAGAGGUGAAAUUCGUAGAUAUUCGGAGGAACACCAGUGGCGAAGGCGGCUCACUGGUCCGGUACUGACGCUGAGGUGCGAAAGCGUGGGGAGCAAACAGG
rnacentral:rRNA from 1 species